AUGUAAUGUAAUUCCUACAACAUUAAUGCACCAUAUCCCAUUAGAACUUCACAAUUAACCAUGCUUGGGAUAAAGUAUUACUAGGAUGGGUGACCUCUUGGGAAGUCUUAGUGUUUUACAUG
rnacentral:rRNA from 1 species